rnacentral:lncRNA from 10 species
UUGGUAUGUGGUAGACAUUUAAUACCUAUGAAUGAGGCACAUACUAUUAUGAUGUCUAUUUUAGAGAUGGGGAAACCGAGGCUCAGAGGGGGUGCAUUGACUUGCCCAAGACUCCACAACUGAGCUGGGAUUUGAACCCAGGUCUCCUCUGAUUUCAAAGCCCUUGCAGUUUCUGCUGCACCACACUGUGGAGUGCUGGGUGGAGAAAGGAAGUGUUCGCUUCCUCUGCUGCAGUGUGGACUAGCUGUUUUUGAUGAUCAAAGGAGACUCACAAUGGGGCUAGGUAGGAACGUGGCUGGGCUGAUAAAUGGCCAGUCUAUCUGCAAACCUGCCUAACUGAGAGGUGGGCCCAUCUGAGCACUUUCCUGCCUCCUUCUCAAGCCUUCUAAGGCUUCCCACUGCCUAGAGGAUAAAGUCCCACUUCUUCAUGUGGCAUUCAAUGUCCUUCGCAGCCUGUCUCCAAGUGCUCCCUUGUCCCUUGUCGUGAGCUUGUCCAGCUGGUCUCGCUGCUCCUGAACUUAACCUCCUGGCUCCAUGAUUCUGUCCCUGCCAUCUCUCCUCCCCAUCACUCCAACCUGGGGCACACUCUCCCCAUUCCAAGCCUUGUCCUCUUCGUCCCCUUGCAGGGGCCUUUUGGGGCAAACCUCUGUCACUCCCCUUCCUGGUGCAUAAACUACUCACCCCUCCCUGGAGCUCCUCAAGCCCCUGCCUCAGCCCAAGCCCACUUGGACCUGGACCUGUCACUGGAUUCGUUCACACGGGCCAAGCUUUCCCACUGGCCCAUGUCUGAGGCCAUCAUCUCUGUGGCCAGUGCACAGGGGAGGACGCUGCACCAGUUUAGGAACUGCACUAACCACAAGGAGAGUAAGAAGCAGGAGUGAAAUGGCCAAAGGCUGGAUUCAGGAAGUGGAGAAGGCAAACUCCACGUGGGCAGGGAUCCUGUUUUAUCAUCUCUGCUUCCUCACUGCACAGAACAGUGCCGGGCACAACUCAAUGCGGAGUUGCUGCCUAAGCCUGUGACCCUGAGAACGCAGGUGCUGCCAGAAUGGAACCCUUAGAGCGAGCUGGACUCUGGCAGCACACAUGGCCUGUGAGGACCCCUUCUCUGUCUCCCACAGACCCUCAAUGGCCUCCCAUUUCCAUUUUUGUACCCCACAGUCUGGGAGCUCCACCCCAGUUCUGUCCUUGGCUGAGUCAUCUUGGUGUCCCCAGGCCUGGCUCAGGGCCUGGCAUGGAGGAGGAGCUGGGUAAAUGUUUGUGGUGUUAAAUUGGACCAGUCUCCAGCUCCUCACUGCCUCCACAUCUGAGGAGCCCCAGGGAAGGGGCCGGCAAAGAGAGAUGAAAGAAGGGAUCGCUGAGUUUGCAGUUUGAGUUUCUGGUUCCUGGGCCAGCCAGUGGGCAAGGAAGGCUGUUAGACUCAGGAAGGAAAGAGCUUUGGAGUCACUAGACCUGGGUUCAAAUCUCUACCAUGUGCCUUACAGGUGUGACCUUGGCUGCACCUUCUGCACUACGAUGAUGGCCUCCUGAGUGUCGCUGUCUGUGGUGACCUUGAACACAUCGCCGCCGCUGCUGCUCUCGUCCUUAAGGUGGACAUCAGCAAGUGUGACAAAAGCAGAGGUUUGAUAAGCCCCUGUAUGCUGCGGCCUGUCCUCUUGGAAUCCUGAGACCAUUGUACUGUGAAGAAGCCCAGGAUAAAAGGCCACAUGGAGAGGGAGGCCUAGUCCUGCCAGCUGUCCCAGUGAAGUCACUCCCAGCGACCCGACAGCUGACUGUUGCUGCAUGAGUGACCCCAGCAAAAUAACUGCCAAGCUGACACACCAA